UGAUAUGGAGCAAAACCCUAAAAAGCGGUCUCAGUUCGGAUUGAAGGCUGAAAUUCGCCUUCAUGAAGCUGGAAUUGCUAGUAAUGGCAGGUCAGCAUACUGCCGUGAAUACGUUCCCGGGCCUUGUACACACCGCCCGUCACACCAUGAGAGUUGGAAAUACCCGAAGCCUGUGAGCUAACUGUAAAGAGGCAGCAGUCGAAGGUAGAGCCAAUGAUUGGGGUGAAGUCGUAACAAGGUAGC
rnacentral:rRNA from 1 species